GUUGUAGAUGAGCAUGAGAGUGUGGAGCAGAGUCGGCGAGCGCAAGCUGAGCCCAUCAACCUGGACAGCUGUCUCCGUUCUUUCACCAGUGACGAAGAGCUAGGGGAAAAUGAGAUGUACUACUGUUCCAAGUGUAAGACCCACUGCUUAGCAACAAAGAAGCUGGAUCUCUGGAGUCUUCCACCCUUUCUGAUUAUUCACCUUAAGCGAUUUCAAUUUGUAAAUGAUCAGUGGAUAAAAUCACAGAAAAUUGUCAAAUUUCCUCGGGAAAGUUUUGAUCCGAGUGCUUUUUUGGUACCACGAGACCCAGGUCUCUGCCAGCAUAAACCACUCACACCCCAGGGGGAUGAGCUCUCCAAGCCCAGGAUUCUGGCAAGAGAGGUGAAGAAAGUGGAUGCGCAGAGUUCGGCUGGGGAAGAGGACAUGCUCCUGAGCAAAAGCCCAUCCUCACUCAGCGCUAACAUCAGCAGCAGCCCAAAAGAUUCUCCUUCUUCAUCAAGAAAAAGUGGAACCAGCUGUCCCUCCAGCAAAAACAGCAGCCCUAAUAGCAGCCCACAGACUUUGGGGAGGAGCAAAGGGAGGCUCCGGCUGCCCCAGAUUGGCAGCAAAAAUAAACUGUCAAGUAGUAAGAAGAACUUGGAUGCCAGCCAAGAGAAUGGGGCUGGGCAGAUCUGUGAGCUGGCUGAUGCCUUGAGCCAAGGGCAUAUGCAGGGGGACAGCCAACCAGAGCUGGUCACUCCUCAGGACCACGAGGUAGCUUUGGCCAAUGGAUUCCUUUAUGAGCAUGAAGCAUGUGGCAAUGGCUGUGGCAAUGGCUACAGCAAUGGUCAGCUUGGUAACCACAGUGAAGAAGACAGCACUGAUGACCAAAGAGAAGACACUCAUAUUAAGCCUAUUUAUAAUCUAUAUGCAAUUUCAUGCCAUUCAGGAAUUCUGAGUGGGGGCCAUUACGUCACUUAUGCCAAAAAUCCAAACUGCAAGUGGUACUGCUACAAUGACAGCAUCUGUGAGGAAUGUCACCCUGAUGAAAUUGACACCGACUCUGCCUACAUUCUUUUCUAUGAGCAGCAGGGGAUAGACUAUGCACAAUUUCUGCCAAAGAUUGAUGGCAAAAAGAUGGCAGACACAAGCAGUAUGGAUGAAGACUUUGAGUCUGAUUACAAAAAGUACUGUAUGUUACAGUAAAGCUACCACUCUGGCUGCUAGACAGCUUGGUGGUGAGGGAGAUGACUCCUUGCCAAGCUGAUACUUGGCAAAAGCGUCACUGAAAGAGGGGAUGCUUCAUCUCUGAGGUUGGAAACUCUGUAGAGCAGGAUUCCCCAACUCCUGGGCUACAGACCAGUACCGUCCAUGGCCUGUUAGGAACCGGGCUGCACAGCAGGAGUGAAGGGCUAUGCCAUGAGGCCGGGAAUUUGUGUCCGGCUGGCUCACUAAUGUAUCUGUGGUGCCUAGACCAGCGCCUGGGACAUGAAUCUUCGUCUAGUGCAUGGACCAGCAGUGCUUUAGAUAUUAUGCUAUUGUGUUAUCAGAAUCCAUUUCUUCCACACCUCUGAAGCCAGAAUAAUGCACACGGAGAGGUUUUAAAGCUGUGGAAAAGCAGAGCCCUAGAAGCAAACAGCCCAGGCUGAGGCUUUGGGGACAACAGGAGACAAAAGAAUACUUGAUGAUUUCAUAGUGGGAAGCAUGGAGAAUUAACGUAAUCAAGAGCUGCGAGGCAAUAAGAGGAGAGUCUUGGGCAGCCCUCAAAUAGAAUAUUAUUCCUCCUCCUCUCUCCACCUUACCCCAGGAAUACCUGUUAGCAUCCUGCAGAAUCAAUGUUUUGUGUAAUCCAUGGUGGGGAAAGCUGCUUGGGAAGAUUAGAAAUGCUCAACACCAGGCCCUCUGCUCGGCUCCUGGCACAUGCAUCGUGGACACCAGGAAGCGUGAGCCCCCGUUGCAUUUCUUCCUAAUGUCAGUCGCUCACAUCACCCUUGGCUUUCAGUCCUCAGAACACAGCAAGUGGAAGUUCACCAACAGCCCCACGUUCCUGGAGGUGCUGGAGGAGUUCCUGUCCCUGCAGGUGUCUGCUGGCUUCCUGCUCUCCCUUCUCCCCAUUCUGAAGCCCAGGUUUUACUCCAUCAGCUCCUCCCAGGAUCACACGCCCACGGAGAUCCACCUGACUGUGGCUGUGCUCAUGUACCACACCCGAG
rnacentral:sRNA from 1 species